rnacentral:lncRNA from 1 species
CUGAGAGAGGGAGCCGAAAGAGACGGCGCUAUCACUGAGUUCCUUCGAGUGCGAGUGCGAGUGCGGGUGCGGAAGGGAGCCGAGAGAAGAGAGAGAAACAAUUGCGAACAACUGUCGUAUCAAAACCCCUGAGUUCCUCUCCAGUUUCGUGAACCAAGAUUUGGGGACGCCGACGAAGACGAAGGUUGAAGAUGGGCUGUCUCUCUCUUCGAAUGACUUGUCUCCUUUUUGUUUUUGCCAACCUUCGAAUGCCUUGUUUUAGUCAAAUGCCUUGGUCUCCCUUUUUU